UACGUAGGGUCCGAGCGUUAAUCGGAAUUACUGGGCGUAAAGCGUGCGCAGGCGGUUUUGUAAGCCAGAUGUGAAAGCCCCGGGCUCAACCUGGGAACUGCAUUUGGGACUGCAAGGCUGGAGUACGGCAGAGGGAGGUGGAAUUCCACGUGUAGCAGUGAAAUGCGUAGAGAUGUGGAGGAACACCGAUGGCGAAGGCAGCCUCCUGGGCCAGCACUGACGCUCAUGCACGAAAGCGUGGGGAGCAAACAGG
rnacentral:rRNA from 1 species